AGAGCACAUCCGGUGUUAGAAGCGCUGGUAGGCCUUGGAGAGGCGGGUUAGGAAGUAGAGACGGGCUUUUGCCAAGUUGUCCAGCCUGGUCUCGAACUCCACACCUCAAGCGAUUCGCCCGCCUUGACCUCCCAAAUUGCUAGGAUUACAGGUGUAAUCCUUUCCUAAAGAAAAAGAGUCAUCUCUCCUGAAGAAUAAGAAAAGAGUGGAGACUGCUGCACGGACUCUGGAACCAUGAACAUAUUUGAUCGAAAGAUCAACUUUGAUGCGCUUUUAAAAUUUUCUCAUAUAACCCCGUCAACGCAGCAGCACCUGAAGAAGGUCUAUGCAAGUUUUGCCCUUUGUAUGUUUGUGGCGGCUGCAGGGGCCUAUGUCCAUAUGGUCACUCAUUUCAUUCAGGCUGGCCUGCUGUCUGCCUUGGGCUCCCUGAUAUUGAUGAUUUGGCUGAUGGCAACACCUCAUAGCCAUGAAACUGAACAGAAAAGACUGGGACUUCUUGCUGGAUUUGCAUUCCUUACAGG
rnacentral:lncRNA from 1 species